GGGAGAACCUAUUAUGUUCUUUGAAGCCCAUUCUAGGGUAGUGGUAGAAUAUGUUUCAAUAAUCAAUACUGCUAUUUAAGAAAAGAGAGAGGUAUGGUGGGAGGAGACCACACUAAAACAAACCAAACAAAGGGUGAAACAAACUGAAUUUGGUUCAGUUCAGUUCAUCAGUUUUGGGCUUCAUAUGUAGUUGCGAUAAACGACGUGAAUAACCUUUGUGAAUUGCAGUUUCUUUUUCUUUUCUUGUACCAUUCUCACAGUUCACUUAUUUCAUGUAUUAUUAUGAAAAGCUGGUGCAUGAAAUUACAAGCUUCUCUCCGUUAUCCCAUGGCUAUACUUGGAAAAUGAAACUUUAAAG
rnacentral:misc_RNA from 1 species